rnacentral:rRNA from 1 species
AACGAACGCUGGCGGCAUGCCUAACACAUGCAAGUCGAACGAGACCUUCGGGUCUAGUGGCGCCCGGGUGCGUCACGCGUGGGAACCUGACCUUAGGUUCGGCCUAACUCCCAGAAAGGGGUGCUAAUACCGGAUAAUGUCUUCGGACCAAAGAUUUAUCGCCUUUGGAUGGGCCCGCGUUGGAUUAGCUAGUUGGUAGGGUAAAAGCCUACCAAGGCGACGAUCCAUAGCUGGUCUGAGAGGCUGAUCAGCCACACUGGGACUGAGACACGGCCCAGACUCCUACGGGAGGCAGCAGUGGGGAAUAUUGGAAAAUGGGCGAAAGCCUGAUCCAGCAAUGCCGCGUGAGUGAUGAAGGCCUUAGGGUUGUAAAGCUCUUUUACCCGGGAUGAUAAUGACAGUACCGGGAGAAUAAGCUCCGGCUAACUCCGUG